rnacentral:ncRNA from 1 species
AACAGAUUUGGUCCUAGUCUUUUUAUUGACUACUCCUAUAAUGAUACAUGCAAGCCAAAAAGCAAUACUGUGAGUAAAAUUUAUAGUAGUCCACCUCUUAAGAAAACUAACUAAAAAGCAUCAGAAAUCUUCAGGAAUCAAAAACGCUUAGACAACCACAACUGCAGUACUCGAAAUUAUACAAUAAGUGUAAGCUUGAUAUAGUAAUAGGAAAGAUAUCCCGGUUAAUUAUGUGCCAGCCACCGCGGUUAUACAUAAGGUAUCAGCCAAUAAAAAAUGGUAAAAAUUGUGGUAGGAAAAACUUCACUGAAAUAAAGAUAAGCUUAAGCAGUAAUAAGCCAACAGCAAUUAAAUUACAAAAACAAAAACCUAAUUUCACCCUUUCGCAACCCACUAAAGCUCUAAGAUAAACUGGGAUUAGAUACCCCACUAUAAGAGCCAUAAAACACCACCACACCCGAGAACUACGAGCGAAAGCUUAAAACUCAAAGGACUUGGCGGUUUUCUAAUUCUUCCUGGAGGAGCUUGCUAUCUAACCGAUAAUCCACGUAAUACCUCACCAACUUUCGAAUAAAUCAGCCUGUAUACCAUCGUCGUCAGUUUACUUCCCGAGAAAUGUAAACACAAGGAACAAAUUUUACUUCCUGACGUCAGAUCGAGGUGCAGCUAAUAAGUUGGGGAUAAGUGAGCUACAAUCAUAAAUAUAAGAAUAAAAAUAUGUAUGAAUAAUGAACUGAUAGCCCCAUUUGAAACAGGAUUCAGCAGUAAUGAGCAAAAGAAAAUGCCCAUGAACAACUCAAAGCCCUAGAAUGCGCACACAUCGCCCGUCACUCUCGUCACUAGAGGAGAAAAGUCGUAACAAAGUAGGCGUAUUGGAAAAUGUGCCUGGAAUAAA